CCUACGGGUGGCAGCAGUGAGGAAUAUUGGUCAAUGGACGAGAGUCUGAACCAGCCAAGUAGCGUGAAGGAUGACUGCCCUAUGGGUUGUAAACUUCUUUUAUAAAGGAAUAAAACGAGGCACGUGUGCCUUUUUGCAUGUACUUUAUGAAUAAGGAUCGGCUAACUCCGUGCCAGCAGCCGCGGUAAUACGGAGGAUCCGAGCGUUAUCCGGAUUUAUUGGGGUUAAAGGGAGCGUAGAUGGGUUGUUAAGUCAGUUGUGAAAGUUUGCGGCUCAACCGUAAAAUUGCAAUUGAUACUGGCAGUCGUGAGUACAGUUGAGGUAGGCGGAAUUCGUGGUGUAGCGGUGAAAUGCUUAGAUAUCACGAAGAAACCCGAUUGCGAAGGCAGCUUACUAAACUGUGACUGACAUUGAUGCUCGAAAGUGUGGGUAUCAAACAGGAUUAGAUACCCUUGUAGUC
rnacentral:rRNA from 1 species